GACGAACGCUGGCGGCGUGCUUAACACAUGCAAGUCGAACGAAGUGGCGAACGGGUGAGUAAUGCGUAAUCAACCUGCCCUUCAGAGGGGGACAACAGUUGGAAACGACUGCUCAUACCGCAUACUGAAGGAGGGGAUUGCGUGUGAUUAGCUAGUUGGAGGGGGAACGGCCCACCAAGGCGAGGUUCAGUAGCCGGUCUGAGAGGAGGAACGGCCACAUUGGGAAUGAGACACGGCCCAGAAGCCUACGGGAGGCAGCAGUGGGGAAUCUUCCGCAAUGGACGAAAGUCUGACGGAGCAACGCCGCGUGAGUGAUGACGGCCUUCGGGUUGUAAAGCUCUUUUAAGCGGGACGCGGUACCGGAAUAGAAAGCCACGGCUAACUACGUGCCAGCCGCCGCGGUAAUUC
rnacentral:rRNA from 1 species